rnacentral:rRNA from 1 species
GACGAACGCUGGCGGCGUGCCUAAUACAUGCAAGUCGAACGCAGUGGGGACGGGUGAGUAACACGUGGGUAACCUCCCAUCAGAGGGGAUAACACUUGGAAACAGGUGCUAAACCGAUACUGAUGGAUGGACCCGCGGUGCAUUAGCUAGUUGGUGAGGUAACGGCUCACCAAGGCCACGAUGCAUAGCCGACCGGAGAGGGUGAUCGGCCACACUGGGACUGAGACACGGCCCAGACUCCUACGGGAGGCAGCAGUAGGGAAUCUGCGGCAAUGGACGAAAGUCUGACCGAGCAACGCCGCGUUAGUGAAGAAGGUGGUCGGAUCGUAAAACUCUGUUGUGAGGGAAGCGGUAGCUAACGAGACAGCCACGGCUAACUACGUGCCAGCAGCCGCGGUAAUAC